rnacentral:lncRNA from 1 species
AUGGGAAGGCUGCUGCAGCGCCAGCAGAUACAACCCCCACCCAGCAGCCCCACCAGAAUGGGAGCGAUGACACACGUGGGGUCCACAGCGGCGCUGGGAGAGCCAACAGAGGCUGCAUUCACCCAUAGCAGCAACGAAGCAGCCGGCAGCGCGGACGACAGAGGGGCUCCGCCACGCGCUGCGUUUGGUCCUCAAUCCUUCCUCCCUCCCCCCCCCAACGCCGGGCACGUGUUUGAGGUAAGAUGUGGAAUUCUGUACAAAUCCCAACUGGCAGAAAAGGAAACACGCACCCGGGGUGUGGGGGGGUCCAUCCCUGGUGGGGCGCAGGGUGUGGAUGGGGCUGAGAGCAGCAGGGCAAUGCGUGGCACCCACAUCCCCCCCACUGCGGUCCCACUUUGGCUGGGGGGGAGGCACGGCUCGGAGCUGUGGGACGGCCCAAACAUGGGCAUGUUUUUGUUUUUCUUUUUGUUUUUUGUUUUUUUUUAAAAAAACUCCUUUAUAUUUAUAUAUUUACUUAUAUAUAUAUAAUAUAUAUAUAUAUAUAUAUAGUGCUCUCGCGAGCCAGGAUUGCGGCUAACAACCUAUAGGGCACAGGGCGAGGAGGGGUCGGGGGGUGCAAGGAGGGACCUCACUGCAGUGCUGGGGGGGAGCUCGGGGGAACUGUACCGCUAUAAAAGCUGGAACAUCACAGAGCACAGACUGAGGGGGAGCACAGCAGGCCUGCAGUGCUGGUGUGCUGCGUGACCAUGGUGUGCUGCGUGCCCACACUGUGCUGUGUGCCCACACUGUGCUGUGUGCCCACACUGUGCUGUGUGCCCACACUGUGCUGUGUGCCCACACUGUGCUGUGUGCCCGCGCUGUGUGUGCUUUUGCUCAGCCCAGUGCAGGAAAACAACGUUGGAAGAUCUGCUAAAAAAAAUGAAAUCCCCAAAGGGAGCUGAGAAGAGAAGGGAGCAGCUAUGGAAACAUGCAGCCCCACCAGAGGAGCAGUGGGAGCUGUGCAGGGCUGCAGACAUCAGCAAAGCGUCACCAGAGCCACCAAGUGCCACCAGCUCUGCCUGAACCCCCCGGAAUGCAGCGUCCCCUCAGUAAGGGCACAUCGUCCCCUUCCUGAGGCCAUCGGGGUGCUCAGGACCUCAGAGCAUGUGAGGAAAGUUGGCUGGGGGGACCCCCAUGCUUGGGGACAACGGCUCCUGCCUGGCACCCCAUGGCCACACUGUCCCACUGAGAUGGGAGGGCAUGGGAGGCUGCCCUGCCUGGGAUCCUAAUGCUCCACACAACCCCUAAAGCAGCGAUGCUGAAAGCUCCAGCAAAGGGCACGGAGGGGUUUGGGGGGAGUGGGAGGGGAAGGGGGAAGCACUGCCAGUGUUUGUAUGGAUAAAAAAAGAAGAAAUCUUCCUAAGUUGGAAGGAUAAAAAUGAAGCCUGGAUGGUCGCUGAGGGGAGACUGAGCUGCAAUGAGUGCGGGUGGGGGCGGAAGGUGGGGGGCACCAUCAGGGCAGGGGGAUCCUCGUGCCCCCUCCCCGCGCCCCUCCAGGGCAGGGAAGCAGCAGCGCACGGCACCGGCCAACCUUCAUCCACACCUCCACGCGGAGCUGUAAACUUGUUUCAAACAAUAACUUAAAAAGACCGAAAACGAAUAUUAAAAACAAUAAAGCUGUAUUAGGACGGAGGGGGGGGGGGGGG